ensembl:piRNA 21ur-3557 ncRNA
UUGUAAGACUGAAAUUUGAAA